UGGCCAAAAUUAUUAUGGCUUCCUCUUAUAGAAUAUAUUAUUUGGCAAAAUGCAAGUUCCUUGGGGACCAGGAAUUUUGAAACGUUCAUCAGGAUGUCCUCUGGGGCUCGUAGAAAGUUGUUUGCUCGGUGCUCCAGGGAAUGGGUAACCAGCAGAAGCAGCGAACAACCACAGCUGAAAAACAGGGCGUUUUCAGGAUACAGACUGGCUGGGAUCAGAAGCGGAACUGCUUAUCGAGAAGCCAUCUCUUCCCCAACUUGUGACUUUAAGGAUGAGUGGGCAUUUUUGCAAAGGUUCAUUAGUGGAUUAGGAGAGAUUUGA
rnacentral:lncRNA from 1 species